UACGGGGGGGGCAAGCGUUGUUCGGAAUUACUGGGCGUAAAGGGCUCGUAGGCGGCCAACUAAGUCGGAUGUGAAAUCCCCAGGCUUAACCUGGGAACUGCAUCCGAUACUGGAUGGCUUGAAUCCGGGAGAGGGAUGCGGAAUUCCAGGUGUAGCGGUGAAAUGCGUAGAUAUCUGGAGGAACACCGGUGGCGAAGGCGGCAUCCUGGACCGGCAUUGACGCUGAGGAGCGAAAGCCAGGGGAGCAAAACAGGG
rnacentral:rRNA from 1 species